rnacentral:lncRNA from 1 species
UCCGUUUUGCUCAAUUGUGCUCCUAGUUCUUGCAAUUCGAAAUCACCAUGUGAGGACCUUCUUUGUACAGUGGUGUAUGGCGCGGCUAUGGUAGCUUCCUUGCACAAACAGAUGGAGUAAUGGACAAUAGGAAAUCAAUGCAAAAAGAAGAAUCCAAAUUGAUCAAGGUUUUGUGGAGAUUUUUGGAUUUUGGCUCUUGUGAGUUCUUGAAGAUUCUUGGAGUUUUUUUGAUGAUUUUGAUCUGAAAAUUUGGUGAAUGAGAAUUCUGUUA